CCUACGGGUGGCUGCAGUGAGGAAUAUUGGUCAAUGGACGAAAGUCUGAACCAGCCAAGUAGCGUGAAGGAUGACUGCCCUAUGUGUUGUAAACUUCUUUUAUAUGGGCAUCAACUGUUCCACGUGUCGGAUUUUGUAUGUACCCUAUGAAUAAUGAUCGGCUAACUCCUUGCCAGCCGCCGCGUUAAUACGGAGGAUCCGAGCGUUAUCCGGAUUUAUUGGGUUUAAAGUGAGCGUAGGUGGAUUGUUAAGUCAGUUGUGAAAGUUUGCGGCUCAACCGUAAAAUUGCAGUUGAAACUGGCAGUCUUGAGUACAGUAGAGGUGGGCGGAAUUCGUGGUGUAGCGGUGAAAUGCUUAGAUAUCACGAAGAACUCCGAGUGCGAAGGCAGUUCACUGGACUGCAACUGACACUGAGGCUCGAAAGUGUGGGUAUCAAACAGGAUUAGAUACCCGAGUAGUC
rnacentral:rRNA from 1 species